UACAGAGGGGGCAAGCGUUGUUCGGAAUUACUGGGCGUAAAGGGCGCGUAGGCGGCCUUCUAAGUCGAACGUGAAAUCCCCGGGCUCAACCCGGGAACUGCGUCCGAUACUGGAAGGCUUGAAUCCGGGAGAGGGAUGCGGAAUUCCAGGUGUAGCGGUGAAAUGCGUAGAUAUCUGGAGGAACACCGGUGGCGAAGGCGGCAUCCUGGACCAACACUGACACUGGAAAAGCGAAAGCCAGGGGAGCAAACGGG
rnacentral:rRNA from 1 species